rnacentral:rRNA from 1 species
CUACGGGAUGCAGCAGUGGGGAAUAUUGCACAAUGGAGGAAACUCUGAUGCAGCAACGCCGCGUGGAGGAUGACACUUUUCGGAGCGUAAACUCCUUUUAUAUAGGAAGAUAAUGACGGUACUAUAUGAAUAAGCACCGGCUAACUCCGUGCCAGCAGCCGCGGUAAUACGGAGGGUGCAAGCGUUACUCGGAAUCACUGGGCGUAAAGAGCGUGUAGGCGGGUUAAUAAGUCAGAAGUGAAAUCCUAUGGCUCAACCAUAGAACUGCUUUUGAAACUGUUAACCUAGAGUGUGGGAGAGGUAGAUGGAAUUUCUGGUGUAGGGGUAAAAUCCGUAGAGAUCAGAAGGAAUACCGAUUGCGAAGGCGAUCUACUGGAACAUAACUGACACUGAGACGCGAAAGCGUGGGGAGCAAACAGGAUUAGAUACCCCGGUAGUC